rnacentral:lncRNA from 1 species
CAAAGAGGGACUGGACAGCCUAUUUCUUUGGGGCUGGUGGCUCCAACUCCAAAUUAGGGGUGCAGUGAAUGUCUUUCCAAGAAGCACACAGCAGGCUGGGCAAGCUGGUGAACUCUGGGAGCUAAAGAGAUGAAGACAAUUCAGGUUUGCGCUCAGCCCAGAGUCUCACCAUUUUAAGAUAAGAGGUAAGCCAAUAAUGUGACUGUGUUGCCAAUACGGGUUCACUUUCCCCAGGGAGGCCAGCUGGAUUUUCAUCAGAGUCAUGGGAUAUUUGGUCUCAGUGUUCUAAAUAUAGGCCGGGCUCUGGGGUGAGACAGCCCUGUGCUUGGCCGCUCAUCUCUUCAGCAACACCUUCUUCUGUAGGUUCAGGUCUGUGGAGCAACAUGAAGGCUGUUUCCAAAGGAUGGCAUCAUAUGAUUGCUGGAGCCUCCAACUCACUACAUAGUUAAAAAUGACCUUCAGCUUCUAAGCCUCCUGGCUCCGCCUUUGUUGGGAUUACAGGCAAGUGCUGCCAUGUCUGGUUUCAUGUGGUGCUGGGGAUUUGAACCAGAGCUUCAUGCACGUUAGUCAAGUGCUUUACCAACUCACCUAUAUUCUUGCCUCCUCUUUCUUUUUCUCUAUUUCUUUAUUGCUUCUUCUUCUUUUUUUUUUUAAGUGAGUCUUUAAUUAAAGAGUGUAUUCUACAAUGAAUUGUAAUGUUUCAGUAUCCAAUGCUACUUUGUUUUUUCUUUGAAACCAGACUUUGUAGUCCA